rnacentral:rRNA from 1 species
AUUGAACGCUGGCGGAAUGCUUUACACAUGCAAGUCGAACGGCAGCACGGGGCAACCUGGUGGCGAGUGGCGAACGGGUGAGUAAUACAUCGGAACGUGCCCAGUCGUGGGGGAUAACGUAGCGAAAGUUACGCUAAUACCGCAUACGAUCUAAGGAUGAAAGCGGGGGAUCGCAAGACCUCGCGCGAUUGGAGCGGCCGAUGUCAGAUUAGGUAGUUGGUGGGGUAAAGGCCCACCAAGCCGACGGUCUGUAGCUGGUCUGAGAGGACGACCAGCACACUGGGACUGCGAGACGGCCCAGACUCAUAUGGGAGGCAGCGGUGGGGAAUUUUGGACAAUGGUCGCAAGCCUGGUCCAGCCAUUCCGCGGGCAGGAUGAAGGCCUUCGGGUUGUCAACUGCUUUUGUGCGGAGCGAAAAGGCUCUCUCUAAUACAGGGGGCUCAUGACGGUACCGUAAGAAUAAGCACCGGCUAACUACGUGCCAGCCGCCGCCGUAA